ACAGAACAGACAACCCCUUCUUCUGGAUGAUAGAGUUAUCAAACUUCCAAGUGGAAUGCUGGUUAUCAGCAAUGCAACUGAAGGAGAUGGCGGGCUUUAUCGCUGCAUAGUGGAAAGUGGUGGGCCACCAAAGUAUAGUGAUGAAGUUGAAUUGAAGGUUCUUCCAGAUCCUGAGGUGACAUCAGACUUGGUGUUUUUGAAACAGCCUUCUCCCUUAGUCAGAGUCAUUGGUCAGGAUGUAGUGUUGCCAUGUGUUGCUUCAGGACUUCCUACUCCAACCAUUAAAUGGAUGAAAAAUGAGGAGGUGCUUGACACAGAAAGGUAAGUGUUGUCUGCCUAAAAGCCUUCUUCAGCCUUAGCUUGAGACUUUGUCA
rnacentral:sRNA from 1 species